rnacentral:rRNA from 1 species
UACGGAGGAUGCGAGCGUUAUCCGGAUUUAUUGGGUUUAAAGGGUGCGUAGGCGGGAUGCCAAGUCAGCGGUAAAAAUGCGGUGCUCAACGCCGUCGAGCCGUUGAAACUGGCGUUCUUGAGUGGGCGAGAGGUAUGCGGAAUGCGCGGUGUAGCGGUGAAAUGCAUAGAUAUCACGCAGAACUCCGAUUGCGAAGGCAGCAUACCGGCGCCCUACUGACGCUGAGGCACGAAAGCGUGGGUAUCGAACAGG